GCGCUUGUAGCUCAGUUGGAUAGAGCGUUGGACUCCGACUCCAAAGGCCAGAGGUUCGAAUCCUCCCAGGCGCACCA
rnacentral:tRNA from 1 species